GUACUGAUGAAGAGUCUCAAACCAGGACGAGACAGCUGUCCAGUAC
rfam:Trichobilharzia regenti genome assembly, scaffold: TRE_scaffold0001634